GGCCGCCCGCGCUCCCGCCCCCGGCCCUUGCCUGCCACGCCCUCCCCUUUUUGGCCGGGUCUUGGCUGCUCCGCGGGUCUCGGGCGGGAUGUGGGAUGAUGAUGAUAAGCUCCCGCUGCAGGUGUGAAUAGAGACCCCGGAGGUGCGUCCUAGCCCUCAUCUGGGGAAGCGCACCUGCAUACAGACGGGUGCACCGGGGAGGAGGCGACCUGCCGCGUGUUCCUGCAAGCAGAAAAGGAGUUAACUAGUGUCACAUUUGAAGACGAGCACUGAGGAUGAGGAACCAACUGAAGAAUAUGAAAAUGUUGGAAAUGCAGCAUCUAAGUGGCCAAAAGUGGAGGAUCCUAUGCCUGAAUCUAAGCACAAGAGGAUCCACACAGGGGAGAAACCCUAUGUGUGUGAUAGGUGUGGGAAGGCCUUCAGGAACAGCUCAGGCCUCACAGUGCAUAAAAGGAUCCACACAGUUUCAGAUGAACUCCCAUAAUGAAUGAUGAAUUUGUGAUGAGGGAUAACCUGGAAGUGGUAUUCACACAUUAUGCUACAAUAAAAGGUUCUACCGUGGAGAGGAUUUUGACACAUUCAGUAACUAAUGGAACACACCGUCAACAUGAAUUCGCACCUUACAUGACAGAAGUGAUUCAGGGAUUCCUAUGAAUAGAAAUGCUGAGAAGGAACGCAUUUUAUUGCAGAAGCUAAAAAGCUAAAGUACCAGUCAUCUAGAGAGAAGGAAAUUAAUGUUUCUUAAUAAUCCUGUUAAAUGUUUGAUUGUUUUUGGAAUGUGUUAUUGUAAAGAUGUCAUGCAGGACAUGUAUAUGUUGUCUGUUGUAAAAUGUUAACGAAUACUUUGUUCAGGGCUCACUCUCUCUUUGUCAUGAAAGCCAGCUCCUUGUGGCGAGGUAAAGUGGAAUUCCAAUAAAGAAAUUCCUUAAAU
rnacentral:lncRNA from 10 species